GUCGAGCGAACAGAUGAGAAGCUUGCUUCUCUGAUGUUAGCGGCGGACGGGUGAGUAACACGUGGGUAACCUACCUAUAAGACUGGGAUAACUCCGGGAAACCGGGGCUAAUACCGGAUAAUAUUUUGAACCGCAUGGUUCAAUAGUGAAAGACGGUUUCGGCUGUCACUUAUAGAUGGACCCGCGCCGUAUUAGCUAGUUGGUAAGGUAACGGCUUACCAAGGCGACGAUACGUAGCCGACCUGAGAGGGUGAUCGGCCACACUGGAACUGAGACACGGUCCAGACUCCUACGGGAGGCAGCAGUAGGGAAUCUUCCGCAAUGGGCGAAAGCCUGACGGAGCAACGCCGCGUGAGUGAUGAAGGUCUUCGGAUCGUAAAACUCUGUUGUUAGGGAAGAACAAAUUUGUUAGUAACUGAACAAGUCUUGACGGUACCUAACCAGAAAGCCACGGCUAACUACGUGCCAGCAGCCGCGGUAAUACGUAGGUGGCAAGCGUUAUCCGGAAUUAUUGGGCGUAAAGCGCGCGUAGGCGGUUUCUUAAGUCUGAUGUGAAAGCCCACGGCUCAACCGUGGAGGGUCAUUGGAAACUGGGAAACUUGAGUGCAGAAGAGGAGAGUGGAAUUCCAUGUGUAGCGGUGAAAUGCGCAGAGAUAUGGAGGAACACCAGUGGCGAAGGCGGCUCUCUGGUCUGUAACUGACGCUGAUGUGCGAAAGCGUGGGGAUCAAACAGGAUUAGAUACCCUGGUAGUCCACGCCGUAAACGAUGAGUGCUAAGUGUUAGGGGGUUUCCGCCCCUUAGUGCUGCAGCUAACGCAUUAAGCACUCCGCCUGGGGAGUACGACCGCAAGGUUGAAACUCAAAGGAAUUGACGGGGACCCGCACAAGCGGUGGAGCAUGUGGUUUAAUUCGAAGCAACGCGAAGAACCUUACCAAAUCUUGACAUCCUUUGACCGCUCUAGAGAUAGAGUCUUCCCCUUCGGGGGACAAAGUGACAGGUGGUGCAUGGUUGUCGUCAGCUCGUGUCGUGAGAUGUUGGGUUAAGUCCCGCAACGAGCGCAACCCUUAAGCUUAGUUGCCAUCAUUAAGUUGGGCACUCUAGGUUGACUGCCGGUGACAAACCGGAGGAAGGUGGGGAUGACGUCAAAUCAUCAUGCCCCUUAUGAUUUGGGCUACACACGUGCUACAAUGGAUAAUACAAAGGGCAGCGAAUCCGCGAGGCCAAGCAAAUCCCAUAAAAUUAUUCUCAGUUCGGAUUGUAGUCUGCAACUCGACUACAUGAAGCUGGAAUCGCUAGUAAUCGUAGAUCAGCAUGCUACGGUGAAUACGUUCCCGGGUCUUGUACACACCGCCCGUCACACCACGAGAGUUUGUAACACCCGAAGCCGGUGGAGUAACCUUUUAGGAG
rnacentral:rRNA from 2 species